AUUAAAGGUCUAGCCUGCCCAGUGACUUUGUUCAACGGCCGCGGUAUCCUAACCGUGCGAAGGUAGCGUAAUCACUUGUUCUUUAAAUGAGGACUAGUAUGAAUGGCAUCACGAGGGUUUUACUGUCUCCUCCCUCUAAUCAGUGAAACUAAUCUCCCCGUGAAGAAGCGGGGAUAAACCUAUAAGACGAGAAGACCCUAUGGAGCUUUAAACACACAACAAUUGCCCUGCUUCCCCCCCCCAAUCUCCGGAAAGCCACAUACUCGGGCAUUUUGAUUGCAAGUUUUAGGUUGGGGUGACCGCGGAGUAAAAAUUAGCCUCCACAGCGAAUGGGACUUCUCCCUAAACUCAGGGCUACGACCCUAAGAAUCAAUAAAUUGACACCCAUUGACCCAAUUUUUUGACCAAUGAACCAAGUUACCCUAGGGAUAACAGCGCAAUCCAUUUCAAGAGCUCCUAUCGACAAGUGGGUUUACGACCUCGAUGUUGGAUCAGGGUACCCCAGUGGUGCAGCCGCUGCUAACGGUUCGUUUGUUCAACGAUUAAAACCCUACGUGAUCUGAGUUCAGACCGGAGCAAUCCAGGUCAGUUUCUAUCUAUAAAGAGUUUCUUCUAGUACGAAAGGACCGAAGAAACAUGGCCAAUGCCUCCGUAAGCCAUAGCAACUUAUUUAUGACUUAAC
rnacentral:rRNA from 1 species